AACCAGCCGACUGAAACGGAUUACAGAUUGCCAAUCCGAGGUUAUUUCUGUUGAUUCCUGUCUUUUCCUUCUCUACCUAGCAUCCAUUCUUCUCCCAAGCUCCAACCCAGUUAUCCAAGAAGAAAUGAACACAUAGGGAUAUCUGCUAUGCUACACUAGGCUGUGCUGCAUAAAUUAUUUCACUUAACCCCUUACAACAAUUUGGUAAAAUAGGUAGGGUUCUCCCCAGUUUUCUUAGGACAAAUGGAAGCUGAGAGUCCUAUGUCCAAAGUAAUACAGCCAGUUAGUAGGUAAAGUCCUGGGUUCCUAAUACUUUACACAAAUCUCAAAGAAAAAUGUAUUUUAGAGUUAGUCUAAGCAAAACAUAAGUAAUCAUAAAUUAUUGCCUAUCAGUGGACACUGCCUUCCGAUUGUAACUGAAACCAGAGCGCCAGGGGGCUCAGGUGUAGAUACUUCCUCUCUACCUAGAAAACUGCCACACACAAAAAGGAAGUGGUGAAAGGCAGUUGCAGGCAGAUCAUGGCAAAAUCGACCAACUUUCUCAAGUGGUAGGAGUAAAGACGUCAUAUAUAUCUGUCCUGAGGAAACAAACUAUUGUCUAGACUCUAGAGGUUAGCAGAAACCUGUGGUUUCAAAACCAAGUUGUUUUGCACAUCUGGCCCAACAGUUUAUACUUAAAAAAUAUAUCCCCCACUCAUACAAAAUCAUCCUAUAUAAAAAAAGCCUAAUAUGCAAAUUGUCCCUCAACUGGGAGUUCGACUGCUUGCUAUGACAUACGCUGACCAACAGGGGGCAGCAUGGACCAUGGUGGGCGUCGGCGACACGGCGCUGGCAACAGGCGGCAGUGGAGGUGCAGCCGGCCCUGAUGGGCUCCGACGAGAGUGGGACCACAGCAGGAUGGUGGAGCAGAAGUCGUGACUUCAUUACAGACAAUUUGGAAAAUACAAAAAAGAACAUCACAAACACCUGCAAUCAGUGGUAAUUGUCAGCAACACAGCAGUAAAUAUCAACA